AGAAGGAGAACCUGAUGCCCCGGGAGGAGCUGGCCCGGCUCUUCCCAAACCUGCCUGAACUCAUAGAGAUUCACAAUUCCUGGUGUGAAGCCAUGAAGAAGCUCCGGGAGGAAGGCCCCAUCAUCAAAGAGAUCAGUGACCUCAUGCUGGCCCGGUUUGAUGGCCCUGCCCGAGAGGAACUCCAGCAAGUGGCUGCACAGUUCUGUUCCUAUCAGUCAAUAGCCCUAGAGCUAAUUAAGACCAAGCAACGCAAGGAGAGUCGAUUCCAGCUCUUCAUGCAGGAGGCUGAGAGCCACCCUCAGUGUCGGCGGCUGCAGCUGAGAGACCUCAUCAUCUCUGAGAUGCAGCGGCUCACCAAGUACCCGCUGCUGCUGGAGAGCAUCAUCAAGCACACAGAGGGUAGCACCUGGGGAGGGGCUGGCAUCACAGGCAGUGGGCCUCGUGCCAGACCCUCAUUCUGGCACUGCUUUGUGACCUUAGCAAGUCACUGUGCCUUGUGGUCUUUGGUGUCUUCGUCCUUGUUCUGUUGUGGGGUG
rnacentral:sRNA from 1 species